GCUACGGAUUAUUACCAGUCCCAUCCACCGCCACCGAGGAAGCUGACGGAGAUGAGAACUACUGCUGCUCUUAUUCCUAAUUGAUUUGAUGUCUUAGUAUAUUGCAUCUCAACUUUUAAUUUUAAUUCCAACUUAUGUCUUCUCAAUCUAUCAUCAAAAGAGCAAGUUCAAACUUGUAUUAUCAAUUUGUAAGAUGAAAAUUUGUGUGCUAAGUAAAAUAAUGCUUCAUCUCUUUCUCAUGCAUUUUUGUUUACAUUGUAGAAAAGAUAUAUAUACACAGACACACAUGUGGUAACCUGUGUUUACCUUAUUAUUAUUUGAAUCCUUAUAUAGUUGAGGUUGAGUUUUCUUCCCUAUUCGACAAAAUGCAGCAUUUCUAACCGGAAAACGAAUAGCCUCUCUACUCUCUAGUUGACAUGAAUUGCAGUAU
rnacentral:lncRNA from 1 species